rnacentral:rRNA from 1 species
GACGAACGCUGGCGGUGUGCUUAACACAUGCAAGUCGAACGGUAAGGCCCUUUCGGGGGUACACGAGUGGCGAACGGGUGAGUAACACGUGAGUAACCUGCCCUCAUCUCUGGGAUAACAGUCGGAAACGGUUGCUAAUACUGGAUAUGAGCUUGCAAGGCAUCUUGUGGGUUGGAAAGAUUUUUUUGGUUGGGGAUGGACUCGCGGCCUAUCAGCUUGUUGGUGAGGUAGUGGCUCACCAAGGCUUCGACGGGUAGCCGGCCUGAGAGGGCGACCGGCCACAUUGGGACUGAGAUACGGCCCAAACUCCUACGGGAGGCAGCAGUGGGGAAUAUUGCACAAUGGACGGAAGUCUGAUGCAGCAACGCCGCGUGCGGGAUGACGGCCUUCGGGUUGUAAACCGCUUUCAAUUGUGACGAAGCUAUUUGUGACGGUAGCAGUAGAAGAAGCACCGGCUAACUACGUG